CAAAGUUGAUCGUGUUUAUGACGUCGAUAUUCGACGACAUAAACACGAAAUUUGAUGGUGUUUAUGACGUCGAAUGUCGACGUCAUAAACACCAAAC
rnacentral:miRNA from 1 species